AGAACGAACGCUGGCGGCAGGCUUAACACAUGCAAGUCGAGCGCCCCGCAAGGGGAGCGGCAGACGGGUGAGUAACGCGUGGGAACGUACCCCUCGGUUCGGAAUAACUCAGGGAAACUUGAGCUAAUACCGGAUACGGCAUUCAAGAGAAAUCUUGGCGGCGAAAGAUUUAUCGCCGAGGGAUCGGCCCGCGUCCGAUUAGCUAGUUGGUGUGGUAAUGGCGCACCAAGGCGACGAUCGGUAGCUGGUCUGAGAGGAUGAUCAGCCACAUUGGGACUGAGACACGGCCCAAACUCCUACGGGAGGCAGCAGUGGGGAAUAUUGGACAAUGGGCGCAAGCCUGAUCCAGCCAUGCCGCGUGAGUGAUGAAGGCCUUAGGGUGUAAAGCUCUUCGCCCACGACGAUAAUGACGGUAGUGGGAGAAGAGCCCGGCUAACUUCGUGCCAGCAGCCGC
rnacentral:rRNA from 1 species